UGCUAACCUGGCCUCCCUUCGCUCCGGUGUUUCAGCGAGCAACUUUGCCUUUGCUUUAGCCUUCGCAGCCUGCCGUCGAGCUAUAUCUGCUGGAUGACUAGAUUCAGCCUGUCGCUUGCGCUGGAGCGCACGCACAGACAGGCCAGUCCACCGUGUCCCAGUCGGCGCGCCAGCCAUGGGGGGACACAGCUUGGUCAGAAACUGAGAACAGCAUUCCUCAACUCUCGCAUGGGAUACGCCGCCGCCAGAAUUAUAUUCGUGGAAGGAAGUUCCUAAAUAAAAUGCGUCGCUCUCACUCA
rnacentral:lncRNA from 1 species